AGAGUUUGAUCAUGGCUCAGAUUGAACGCUGGCGGUAUGCUUAACACAUGCAAGUCGAACGGAAACGAUACUAGCUUGCUAGUAGGCGUCGAGUGGCGGACGGGUGAGUAACGCGUAGGAAUCUACCUAAUAGUGGGGGAUAGCCCGGAGAAAUCCGGAUUAAUACCGCAUAAUCUCUAUGGAGUAAAGGGGCCCUCUUCUUGAAAGGUUUCGCUAUCAGAUGAGCCUGCGUAAGAUUAGCUAGUUGGUGAGGUAAAAGCUCACCAAGGCGACGAUCUUUAGCUGGUCUGAGAGGAUGAUCAGCCACACUGGGACUGAGACACGGCCCAGACUCCUACGGGAGGCAGCAGUGGGGAAUAUUGGACAAUGGGGGCAACCCUGAUCCAGCAAUACCGCGUGUGUGAAGAAGGCCUGAGGGUUGUAAAGCACUUUCAAUUGUGAAGAAAAGUUAAUAGUUAAUA
rnacentral:rRNA from 1 species